rnacentral:misc_RNA from 1 species
AACCUAGCACACCUGCGGUGUGUACCUGCGGAAGGAUCAUUAACCUUUCAAAUCAGGGUGCGGCGCGGCCCCCGAGGAGCGGAAACAAUCCUUGGGAGGUAUGCGGGGGCUUCGAGCCCCCCACUUACGCACGCACGACUGCCAUCCUUACUUUACGAGCACCUUCUGUUCUCCCUCGGCGGGGCAACCUGCCGUUGGAACCGAAUAAACUCUUUUUGCAUCUAGCAUUACCUGUUCCGA